GAUAAAAGAACCUGUCUCGGUAGCCAAGGAGACUGCCUGUAGAUCACACAAGGAUUCUAAACCAAGCUUAGCUAUAGCGCCACAUUAUAUUGAGCGAGAGAGAGAGAGAGAGAGAGAGAGAGAGAGAGAGAGAGAGCCCUUGGGAGGCUGCAGGCAAGUCAUCCUUGGCUACAAAACAAGGCUCUUUAUC
rnacentral:pre_miRNA from 1 species